UACGGAGGGGGCUAGCGUUGUUCGGAAUUACUGGGCGUAAAGCGCACGUAGGCGGCUUUGUAAGUUAGAGGUGAAAGCCCGGGGCCAUCACUCCGGAAUUGCCUUUAAGACUGCAUCGCUAGAAUUGUGGAGAGGUGAGUGGAAUUCCGAGUGUAGAGGUGAAAUUCGUAGAUAUUGGGAAGAACACCGGUGGCGAAGGCGGCGAGCUGGUCCAUUACUGACGGCUGAGGCGCGACAGCGUGGGGAGCAAACAGG
rnacentral:rRNA from 1 species